ensembl:lncRNA
GGACUCAAGAACUCGCGGACUUUGUAGAUAUCGGGUAAUACUUUAUAGGAUAAAGUACAGGUCAAUACAUGGUGUCAGAAUAAGUAGUUAGACUACAAACCCACUUGAAAAAAAAAAAAAAAAAGAGAAGAUGGAGGCUUUCGGUGUCCCUACCCCGAGAAUGGAAUGGGAUUCGUCCAACCUACCUGAUGCGUGGCGGCGAUUCAAACAGCAUGCAGUGCUAAUGUUCACGGGACCGCUACGACAGAAAACGGAGGCGGAGAAAUGCAGUUUUCUCCUGCUGUGGAUCGGGGACAAAGGAAGGGACAUAAGCAACACCUGGGAAAUAACGGAGGAUGAGGCGAUAUUGUUAGAAACAUACUAUGACGGAUUUUCAGCAUACCUCACACCGAAAGCUAACCCAAUAUUCGCCCGUUACAAGUUCCACGGAAAGACGCAAGGGAGCGGUGAGUCAUUCGAGCACUUUGUCACAGAGCUCAAACUACUCGUUAAAGACUGUGACUAUAGAAAUAGUGACGAAAUGGUUAGGGACCGUAUUGUUUUCGCUACCAACUCACCUAGAGUGCGCGAAAAGUUGCUCAGUCAGGGACCAGAGCUAACGCUAGAUAAGGCAAUUGAUAUAGCACGCUCUUACGAGCUAGCACAAGUGCAGCUAAAGGCUAUGGCUAAUGACAGCCAUGAAGUGCACACAGUACACCGCAAGGCGGGAAAGUCAGCGACGGUUAGAUAUCCCAGCAGAGCUAACGUCAGCAGGCCAAGCGAAGGCUCGAAGACGAAUUACAAAGCAUGUAGCGCGUGUGGAGGGCACCAUAACAAACUAUCUGAAUGCCCAGCAAAAGGAAAGCAGUGUUUAAAGUGCCGAAAACUCAACCACUUCGCAAGAGUUUGUAAAUCAAAGAAUCAUUCUUCAAAUAGAACAGGGCACCGAGAUGUACAUGCUGUUGAGGAUGAUGAGGAUUACGACUCAGAGCUGUUUGUGGACAUAGUCUCAACGGAGAGAAAGAAUGAGGAAAGCGCGUAUGCAGACAUAGGACUGGGACCACAGAACCAACAAAUGACAUUCAAGCUGGACACAGGUGCACAAGCGAAUGUGAUACCUGCCAAAGACUUUGCCACACUCAUGCCCAGCACCCCAAUUAGGACUGACAAUCGUAAGCUAACUGGCUAUGGGGGGCAUGCACUGAAAGUGAACGGGUACUGCACUUUGGAAGGCAGGUACAAGAGUAACUCCAUAACCAGGAAGUUUUACAUUGUGGACUGCAACGGCCCACCCAUCCUAGGCUACAGAGCUUGUCAAGACCUGGGGCUCAUCAAGGUAGUAUACGCCAUCACCGACGCCAGUGAGGAAGAGCCAGACACACAGUCAGCCAACAUACUGAAUGAAUACUCAGAUGUUUUCAAAGGCAUCGGUGAGUUCCAGGGUGAGUGCAGUUUUAGGAUAGACCCUAGCAUAGCACCAGUGGUUUGCCCACCAAGGAGAGUACCCUUUGCCUUAAGAGAACGUUUAAAAGUAGAGUUAGACAACAUGGAAAGGGAUGGCAUAAUCUGCAAAGUGACUGAACCUACCCAGUGGGUUAACGCGCUGGUAGUGUCACUACCCUCUACCCACACUGGAAGAUGUAACAUCUAAACUGACUGGGGCUAAGUUCUUCAGCGUCCUAGACGCAAGGUCGGGUUACUGGGCUAUCAAGCUGAGUGAGGAGUCGUCGCUGCUCACUACAUUUAACACCACAGUUGGUAGAUACUGGUUUCUCAGGCUCCCCUUCGGCAUCGUGUCUGCCCAGGAUGAAUUCCAGAGGCGAGUAGAUGAGACAUACGAGGGUCUUCAGGGCGUGGCCGGCAUCGUGGACGACAUUGUUGUGUUCGGGAAGACAAGGAAGGAGCACGACAGCAAC